UUAUAUUAAAUUAUGGUACUUUUUUUUUUUUUUCCACAGCAAACUGCAUUAUGCUGUAUUAUGAGCCGGUAUUUACCAUCUGGCCCAAUCACAGUAACAAGCUGAGCACUUCUGAAUAAAAGACAUUUUUCCUCAAAAUUUAUACUGCCUCCAGUGCCAGUAUUCUCUAUGGACCCUGAGCACAUAAUUAUUUCAUGGGGUAUCCUGCACAUAGAUCCAAGCAGAUGCCGGGACAUCCUGCAGAAGUACCCACGGAGGGUUUAGGCUUUCCAAGGCACACAGCCUUUCCUCCUCUGCUGUAAAGAAUGUACACAAACAAGAAGUAAACACAACUUUUCUGCUCAUCUGAGUCCCUGUAUCUGAGCAUGAAUGAUCUGAGGGAUUAAGAACGUGGGGAGAGGAGCCUGAGUUGAGCUGAAGAGCAUGCAGGUCGUGCUUGACAUCUGGUUGCUGCAAAGACUAACACAAAAAUGUAUGAGAAAUUUAAUCGUGUUCCAAGAGCUGCAUCCCCGUUGAGCUGUGAACCCAGGCUUCCUUUGGCCUUUUUUGUGUGACAGUAUCUGUCGAACAACUUCUUCAAGAUGUCUCCUGGCAGCUUCUACCGGAUGCAUGCCAUUAUCUACUGUGCUGUCUCCUUGGGAAGGACCUCCACAUCCAACAGGUCAUGCAUUCUGUCAGCCAUAUCAGCUUGCCUAAGAAAGAUCCUGCCACUCCAUGUGAACUUGCUCUCCUGAAUGCUGUAAACCACCAGCACUCACAAAGGCACAAAUGUCAUGCACCUUUCUGAGAUGUUCCUGUCCAGCUCCAGGUUUCCCUCUCUCUUUCAGUCUUCAUGCUUCCUUCACACAACAAGGUUUUCACUUUCUUUCUGUUUCCCUUUAGCGCCACUCUUUUAGCCAAGUUAUUCUUCACCCUCCCAUCUUCUCCUAACUGACACAUCUGUUCACAUGCUCAAACUAUCACUUCUUUGAGGAAAUGCCAGUUCUCCCUCACUUCUUUUCUUUCUUCUCUCCCAUGGAAUCUGUCAAGAGUAGUUUUCUCCAUUCAUUUAUCCUCAGAUACGCAGUCCUUGAUGAGAAGCUCGGCGUAGGUCCCAGGGGCAUACUUUGUUAUUAUUAUUUUCAUAAAGAACAACAACAACAAAAAUCCAGACACAAGUUAAAAAUUGUAAAUCUUUCACUUGUCUUUAUCGGAGAUUCCAUACAGACUGGGGAAAUCUUCAGCCUGAGCCUUGGAGAUGAACAAAUAAAAAAAUCAAAUACAAAUUCAAUAAAUAAUAUAAUGAGCUCUUCAAACCUUCUGGAAAAGUUUAAUAAAUCCGAGAUACUUAGACACAUGUUUACCAUAUAACUAUUUGUAGGAACAUGGUACGUAUCAAAAAGUAAAAUGUACUUGCAUUCCUGUAGAGACAUAUUCUAAGGUGUGAGAAGAUUGUCCCAGUCAACAAAUGUCCUUCGCUUUCAAAGGCUGAACUAUUUUCUCAUAUAAAUAAAAGGACAAGCCAAUAAGUGACGGUUAUUUCAGUGGAGAAAAGUAACAGCUAAUCCUGGAGUUGAUUUUUCAUCGCAGACUGCAUUUGACAGCUUUGAAUUCAUCCUAAUUGUGAAAAAACACAAGAUGGUUAAAACAUCCUGUGUAAACAAGAAUGAAGACAUUGAUUGAAAUAAGCUUUUGGAAAGAGGCUGUUGUUUGUAAUACAAAGAAAUAGAAGAUUAUAUCCCAAAAGAAAAGUGUUCAAUGUUAUUAAAAUUAUAUUUCCAAUUUCUUUCCUUCCGUUGAUUUUUUUUUUUAAUUGGAGGGCCAAAAUAUCCUCAGGACAGCGAGCUGCAGUCAGCAUUUUGCAAGAAGAAUCUUUCCAUUGGAAGACUUCCAACCAGGUCUCCAUUUCAGUUCUGCAGAACAUAUAAUUGAUUUUUCCAUAUAGUUAUAGUCUAUUAGAUGCAUUUAAAUCUUUACAUUGCUGCCUGUUUGAUGUGGGCGACGUAUUUUAUCCACUGUAAAUGGUAAUUUCUUCUUUCCAGUUUUCUAGGUGGAAUUCUGCAGUUACUAUUCACAAGCUAAGGUCCAGACUUUGGUGUUGGAAUUCUUGCUCUUUCACUGUGGCAUAACCUACCUAUGCUUGCAGCCACACAACUGUUGGGGUGACAGCAUGUACACAAACAGCUAAUCUGUAUGAGAACACCAGGCAUAGCAACACACUUGCUCAUCUAUAUGAACAAGUGAACUGACACCACAUUCAGUUUUUCACUAAAGCAAUUGUAUCUAGAAAUUAUGGGUCUGCUCUACUGUGAACUUCCCUUCAUACACACAAUGAAAAAUCCCAAAUCUUUCUGAGGUUCUAAAAAGGAUUAAAAAAAAACCCUCUUUCUUCCAGUUCAUUGUUGGAUAUGUUAACCAGGAUCAGAGAUGUUCCCAUGAAGUUACAAAUGGGAACUGAAGACUGAAGAGCUACAGCUUUA
ensembl:lncRNA